UAAAGAAAGCGUAAUAGCUCACUGGUCGAGUCGGCCUGCGCGGAAGAUGUAACGGCGCUAAACCAUGCACCGAAGCUGCGGCAGCGACACUGUGUGUUGUUGGGUAGGGGAGCGUUCUGUAAGCCUGUGAAGGUGGCCUGUGAGGGUUGCUGGAGGUAUCAGAAGUGCGAAUGCUGACAUAAGUAACGAUAAAGCGGGUGAAAAGCCCGCUCGCCGGAAGACCAA
rnacentral:rRNA from 1 species